rnacentral:rRNA from 1 species
UACGUAGGGUGCAAGCGUUAAUCGGAAUUACUGGGCGUAAAGCGUGCGCAGGCGGUUUUGUAAGUCAGAUGUGAAAUCCCCGGGCUUAACCUGGGAACUGCGUUUGAAACUACAAGGCUAGAGUGUGGCAGAGGGGGGUGGAAUUCCACGGUGUAGCAGGUGAAAUGCGUAGAGAUGUGGAGGAACACCGAUGGCGAAGGCAGCCCCCUGGGUUAACACUGACGCUCAGGCACGAAAGCGUGGGGAGCAAACAGG